CUGGGAAUGCAGCCCAAAGCGGGUGGUAA
rnacentral:piRNA from 1 species